GAGAUAUUAGUCUAAAUAAGACAGCUGAUUUCGACUCAGCUAACCAUGGUUUAAACCCAUGAUACCUCU
rnacentral:tRNA from 2 species